rnacentral:tRNA from 1 species
GCUAAUGUAGCUUAACCAAAGCAUAACACUGAAGAUGUUAAGAUGGGCUGUAAUAAGCCCCAUGGGCA